UCCGUCGUGGUGUAGCGGCAAGCAUUCGAGACUCUCAUCCUUAGGUUUCAUCUCUUGCGGGGAGGGCCUGGGUCGGGGGAUUUCGGGACCCGGGUUCGAUUCCCGGCGACGGAA